rnacentral:rRNA from 1 species
UUUACUGAGAGUUUGAUCCUGGCUCAGGGUGAACGCUGGCGGCGUGCCUAACACAUGCAAGUCGUACGGUCCACAGGACCGAACAGUUAACUUAAAACAUUUAACCAUUAACUCGGAGUAAUAUGGAAACAUUUAGAUUUCGAAGUUUUAAAGUUUACCUAGAUGCAAAAAGAUUUAAUGUGGAGAUCUUUGCAGCUUCGAAACGAUUUCCAUUUGAACUUCGCUCACAAGUUAUUCGCAGCUCUUUAUCGAUUGUCUUGAACAUCGCAGAAGGCUCUGCUAAAAAAUCUGAUAAAGAUUUUAAUCGUUAUGUGCAAAAUGCGCUUGGGUCAGUAAAUGAAACGGUGGCAGCACUAGAAAUUGGACAUGAUUUGAAAUUUCUAUCCAGCGCACAGUUCCAAGCACUAAUUGCAGUAGCACAAGAGAUAGCGCGGCAACUUGGUGGGUUUUCAAAGAAACUCACUCGUUAAUUGUUACGUGUUAAUUGUUGAAUGUUCUGUCCUGUGGACAGUGGCAGACGGGUGAGUAACACGUAGGAACAUACCCCAAACUCGAGCAUAAUUCGCCGAAAGGCGGACUAAUUCUCGAUGGUGUGGAGGUCAAAUCUUCACUAAAGCUCCGGCGGUUUGGGAAUGGCCUGCGGCCUAUCAGCUAGUUGGUGGGGUAAUUGCCUACCAAGGCUACGACGGGUAGGGGGUCUGAGAGGAUGGCCCCCCACAAGGUGACUGAGACACGGCACCUACUCCUACGGGAGGCAGCAGUUGGGAAUAUUGGACAAUGCCCGCAAGGGUGAUCCAGCGACGCCGCGUGGAGGAAGAAGCACAUACGUGCGUAAACUCCUUUUGUCGGGGAAAAUUGUGAUGGUACCCGAAGAAUAAGGGCUUACUAAACUCGUGCCAGCAGUAGCGGUAAUACGAGUAGCCCAAGCGUUACCCGGAUUUAUUGGGUGUAAAGCGCCGGUAGGUGGUUUUGUGCAUCCUGCUUUAAAGACCUCUGCUUAACGGAGGAAAUGGGCAGGAGAUGGCGAAACUUUGAGGGUUGCAGGGGUGAGCGGAAUUGACGGUGUAGCAGUGAAAUGCGUUGAUAUCGUCAAGAA